rnacentral:rRNA from 1 species
GAUCAUGGCUCAGGACGAACGCUGGCGGCGUGCCUAACACAUGCAAGUCGAGCGGGGAUCACUUAGUGAAGUUUUCGGAUGGAUCUGGGUGAUUCUAGCGGCGGACGGGUGAGUAACGCGUGAGCAACCUGCCUAUCACUGGGGAAUAACGCAUCGAAAGGUGUGCUAAUACCGCAUGAGACCACAGAGGGACAUCCCUUAGGGGUCAAAGAUUUAUCGGUGAUAGAUGGGCUCGCGUCUGAUUAGCUAGUUGGUGAGGUAACGGCCCACCAAGGCGACGAUCAGUAGCCGACCUGAGAGGGUGAUCGGCCACAUUGGAACUGAGAAACGGUCCAAACUCCUACGGGAGGCAGCAGUGGGGAAUAUUGGGCAAUGGGCGCAAGCCUGACCCAGCAACGCCGCGUGAAGGAAGAAGUAUUUCGGUAUGUAAAGCUCUAUCAGCAGGGAAGAAAAUGACGGUACCUGACUAAGAAGCCCCGGCUAACUACGUG